rnacentral:rRNA from 1 species
AUUGAACGCUGGCGGCAGGCCUAACACAUGCAAGUCGAGCGGAUGAAGGGAGCUUGCUCCUGGAUUCAGCGGCGGACGGGUGAGUAAUGCCUAGGAAUCUGCCUGGUAGUGGGGGAUAACGUCCGGAAACGGGCGCUAAUACCGCAUACGUCCUGAGGGAGAAAGUGGGGGAUCUUCGGACCUCACGCUAUCAGAUGAGCCUAGGUCGGAUUAGCUAGUUGGUGGGGUAAAGGCCUACCAAGGCGACGAUCCGUAACUGGUCUGAGAGGAUGAUCAGUCACACUGGAACUGAGACACGGUCCAAACUCCUACGGGAGGCAGCAGUGGGGAAUAUUGGACAAUGGGCGAAAGCCUGAUCCAGCCAUGCCGCGUGUGUGAAGAAGGUCUUCGGAUUGUAAAGCACUUUAAGUUGGGAGGAAGGGCAGUAAGUUAAUACCUUGCUGUUUCGACGUUACCAACAGAAUAAGCACCGGCUAACUUCGUG